UACGUAGGGUGCAAGCGUUGUUCGAAAUCACUGGGCGUAAAGCGCGUGUAGGCGGUUUGUUAAGUCUAAUGUGAAAGCCCGGAGCUUAACUCCGGAAGUGCAUCGGAUACUGGCAGACUAGAGGACAGAAGAGGGAAGUGGAAUUCCUGGUGUAGGGGUGAAAUCCGUAGAUAUCAGGAGGAACAUCAGUGGCGAAGGCGGCUUCCUGGUCUGUUUCUGACGCUCAGACGCGAAAGCAUGGGGAGCAAACAGG
rnacentral:rRNA from 1 species